rnacentral:misc_RNA from 1 species
CAUACGUCUACAUUUGCUUAUUUCCUUUCUUGAACCAUGCAACUGCAGUUAAAAAACUCCAAUUUGAAUAGACCUAGAUAAGAAUCAUCAAGUAUUGAAUGGGCCCUGAUUAUAUGGCCCUUUUCAUCCAAAGGUAGUGUUUAUUUACACCUGUGUACUGUAUUUUCUAAAUUCUCUCGUGUCACACUUGGGCUUGUUGGGGACUAAUGCUGAUGCGAAGAGAUGGAAUUUAACCUUGCGCUCAAGUAUCUUCUUCUGAUUGUUGUAUUUGUCUUAUAGAUGCAGGUGCUUCUGGAACUUGAUCAUAACAUUGCAGCAUAUAGUUUUGAAAUAUAAUUUUGUUGUCAGAUACUAUUACUUUCCACUUGAUACUAGCAGGCCAAGGACAUGAAAGCCUCUUCGUUACUACAAACAAUUGAGCAAGGGACAUGUAAGCCUCGUCAUUACUACAUACAUUUGAGUGCCCAAAUACUUCAACUUCUCCUCUCAUUAGAGGUAAAAGGAUAGGAAGAAUCAUAUGGAUUUGUAAACUUGCCAUAUAAAAAGGAUUUUACAGGUUACGCUGAGCAUUCAUAUUUACUGUUCUUUAUAGUUUAUUUACAUAAAAAAAAAAUCCUUCACACAGAUGUCAUCUUCUCCGGAUGCCAAGGGUCAAACAUAUAUAUCUGUACAUUCAAUCUUAGCAUCCCCUAAUCAUGUCAAAUGAUUAUUGUGAAUCCACUUCAACAUGCUAAGUUCAAAAAUGCAUGCCAAAUCUGACUUUGAUUUCCAGGGACUAUCGUAUCAGCAAUUGAAGAAAGUCUUUUCUGAAAAUACCUGUACACCGUCUGUAUACUUGGAAGAAGAGGAGUUAAUAGAAAUGGAGCGUUCAAAGGUAGAGAUGAUGCUUCUUCUGUAACAAAAGAAAGUAGAAGCAUUGCUUUGGAGUAUGAAAUUGGAGCGCGACCCUUGUUCUCCUUAUACUCGUCUACCUGGAAGGAGGCAAGAGCCAGCAAAGCAUUAAUUUAUUUGUAACACAAACUUGAACAUUCUUGCAGCAUAUAAUUGUAUCACUCACAGCACCACUUAUCCCAACAGCUAGUCUUUUGGAAAACUAUUUCCAUUGCAUCAGGCAUCUCAGCAGCAGUUGCAACCAAUUCGACAGAUAUUUUGACUAAAUUGCAAACCGGUAAGGCAAACAUCACAAGGAAGCAUUGAUAUACGACCUAACCAUCCUUAUCUAGAAUGUGAUGUGAUUACUUCUCCGUCGGAUCAUAUGCAGCAAGAACUUCUUGCUUUGCCCACUCGCAGGCAGAUCUUCGGCCUGCUAAAAUCCAUUCAAUCUCUUACGCCACCCUGAACAAAAUUAGAUUCAUUAGCUGAACUGCUUUCAGGUAAUUCACUUCCAGCAGUUGAGGCCAGCGAGAAGCUGCAAAUUUGAAGAGCUUUCUUCCAUAUGUCCAAAACACUCAUUUGCAGAGAGAAGCACAGUGGGAAAGAUGGAUUUUUUUAUUUAUUUAUUUAAUGGUAUUUAAGACAUUUCAAGUUUUUUAUGUGUUAAAUAAAAAUUGUAAUUAGAAAAUUGAGCAUUAAAAGAAAAG